AUUGAACGCUGGCGGCAUGCCUAACACAUGCAAGUCGAACGGGGCAGCAAUGCCUAGUGGCGGACGGGUGAGGAAUACGUAGGAAUCUGCCCUUAAGUGGGGGAUAACCAGGGGAAACCCUGACUAAUACCGCAUGAUCUCUUCGGAGCAAAGAGGGGGACCGCAAGGCCUCUCGCUUCUGGAUGAGCCUACGUCUGAUUAGCUAGUUGGUAGGGUAAAGGCCUACCAAGGCGACGAUCAGUAACUGGUCUGAGAGGAUGAUCAGUCACACCGGAACUGAGACACGGUCCGGAAUCCUACGGGAGGCAGCAGUGGGGAAUAUUGGACAAUGGGCGCAAGCCUGAUCCAGCAAUGCUGCGUGUGUGAAGAGGGCCUUCGGGUUGUAAAGCACUUUAGCCUGGAAAGAAAAAACUUUGGUUAACACCCAAAGUCUUGACGGUACCAGGAGAAUAAGCACCGGCUAACUCUGUGCCAGCCGCCGCGGUAAAAC
rnacentral:rRNA from 1 species